CUUUCACUUCCCCCACCCACAGCUCCCAGACCCACGCCCCCCUUGGCUCCUACUCAGUCCCCAGGAAUCUGGUGCCAGCUGCUGUGUUCCAGCCUUCCCGAGGCUCCUCCUGGUGUCCCAGAAACCCAGGAAAUCGAUGCUCAGGACUCCCAGAGAUGAUGGCAUCUAGAAGAUGACAAAACUGAGUUUAAAUUAUUUGCCCGAACCAGCUGAUAACCAGCAAAAGAGUUUGGAAAGCACUCAAACCCAAUCCACAUAAGCCUCAUUUCUUCAUGCAGCUGACACCAUGCCAUAAACGAAUGGCAGUGGUCCGUGGACAGACUUCAGAGGUUCCUUAAAUCUUAUAAGAAUGUGUGCGAAUUCCUGUGUCGUCAAAGUCUCAGAAAGUAAAUCCUAAGUGAGAAAGUCCCUCUCACUCAACCUUUUCUUCUCUGCAUUUCACCCACGGGCCUGAAGCUCUUAUCAGGACAUGAUGGCCUAUUACAUACAACCUGUAUGCAUCUGCUUGUUGUUCACUUCCACCAUUAGAAGAGCUCCUCGAGGGCAGGGAGGACUGAAACUUCUCCCUGCGAUUGUCACCAUCACCUAGCACCCCACACAGUAGAUGCUCAAUAAAUGACCAUUAUAUGGGCAAAUAGAUAAACAAAUGAGUGGUUUGGAGUUUCCCUACCUAGAGAUCUUCAAAGGAGAGCAGACAACCAACUCUUCUGUGUAGUCCAAAGACAUUAUUCGCCUGCCCAAAGGCUGAGGGCUGUGCCCAAUGCUUUCUCAAGGUAACUCAGCUUCUAUAAUUAGAUUAUACCAAGAUACCAGUUCAAGGUUCUUUUCUCUUAUCGGCUAAGCAUUUAUUGACUACCGGCCAUGUCCAAGGUACUGAGCCAUUGUUCUCUAAAUCUAUUAGAGAUCCUAUUCUAUUAUUUUCUUCUAUGACUCCAUGUUGACAUAAGAUGCAAUAGUGUCCCCACCGCAGACACUCUUAGGUGAGGUCAGCCAAGGCAGAUGGGGAAGAAUCAGCAUUGUCUAAUCUAAAUGGAUAAGCUGGCAGAGUGGGUUCGCCUGUGUUAAUAUUCCAUACCAUCCAGUCCCACUCAGCCUCCUCCCAGAUAAUAAACACAGCAUUUUUAGCUACCAAUAUCUGCUGCCUAUUAAUUGGUAUUAAAAUCUCCAUUUACUUCUUGCUUUCCCUUCCCUCUCCCACUCAUCCACCUGUUAUGUCAAACUGG